rfam:Picea glauca, whole genome shotgun sequence.
GUAAUGGUGUCUUUAGACACCACCUCUAUUCUUCAAAAAAAUUCCCU